AUGAAGAACGCAGCGAAAUGCGAUAAGUAAUGUGAAUUGCAGAAUUCAGUGAAUCAUCGAAUCUUUGAACGCACCUUGCACCCUUUGGUAUUCCGAAGGGUAUGCUCGUUUGAGUGUCAUUGUACUCUCACACUUCUAAUUCCUUUCGGGAUUGGGAGCGGUGGACUUGGGUGUUGCUGCUUUAGUUGUGGCUCACCUCAAAUAAGUUAGUGCAACUCUUGGUUGGACAUAGUACGGCGUGAUAAGUGUCUUCGCCGGCGCCUCUGUAAGGAGGGUGGCCGAUCGGGAGCUCUGUGCUUCAAACCGUCUUCGGACAAUCUUUGACAACUUGACCUCAAAUCGAGUAGGACUACCCGCUGAACUUAAGCAUAUCAAUAAGCGGAGGA
rnacentral:misc_RNA from 1 species